UCCGAGGUCGUCUAAUGGCAGGACACGACACUUUGAAUGUCGGUACGGUGGUUCGACCCCAUCCCUCGGAACCA
rnacentral:tRNA from 1 species